rfam:Hordeum vulgare subsp. vulgare, WGS project CAJW01000000 data, contig: morex_contig_1561767
AUUGUACUUCCUCCAUUCCAAAAUUCUUUUCUUAUAUUUGUUUAGAAAUGAAUGCAUUUAAAUACUAUAACGCGACUACAUACAUUCAUAUCGAGGCAGAUCUAAGAUAAUAAUUUUAGGACGGAGGGAGUAGCAG